rnacentral:rRNA from 1 species
GACGAACGCUGGCGGCGUGCUUAACACAUGCAAGUCGAACGAAGUGGCGAACGGGUGAGUAACGCGUAAUCAACCUGCCCUUCAUAGGGGGACAACAGUUGGAAACGACUGCUAAUACCGCAUACUGAAGGAGGGGAUUGCGUCUGAUUAGCUAGUUGGCGGGGUAACGGCCCACCAAGGCGAUGAUCAGUCGCCGGGAUGAGAGGAGGAACGGGCAAAAUGGGAAUGAGAGACGGCCCAGACGCCUACGGGAGGCAGCAGGGGGGAAACUGCCGCAAUGGACGAAAGUCUGACGGAGGAACGCCGCGGGAGUGAUGACGGCCUUCGGGUUGUAAAGCUAUGUUAAUCGGGACGAGGUACCGGAAUAGAAAGCCACGGCUAACUACGUGCCAGCAGCCGCGGUAAUAC